rnacentral:lncRNA from 1 species
CUUGAAUGAUCAAAGAGCCUAUGACGGGAUCGCAUCUGCCCAACUCCCUCAAUGUGGCCUAUGUUAAAGACGUACCAAAAUUCAUUGACAAUUAGAUCUAAGUCAAAUAAUUGGCUUAGAUUAAGGAAUCCCACCAUCACACAGACCGCAUUUAGAGAGCAUUGAGCGAGGGCACACUUCAUAUAGCAAAGUCCUUCUUGGAAAAAGCGAGGCAUGGGAAAAGUAAAUCCCAACACAAAGCAGUAGAGGUGGAACUUGAUAGCCCUCCAAGCCCUACCACAUAGCUCACAGCUACUACCAUCCUUGACAUUCUUCACACGCACUCCCAACAGAAUAGCAUGCUUAUACGCUUCAAGGAAGUCUCUAAACAAGUCAUCGGACCUAAUUUUGAAGUGAGCAGCCUUGAAGUAGCCAACAUUGCUCAAAGACCCGCCUUGACGAUACAAUGG